rnacentral:rRNA from 1 species
AUUGAACGCUGGCGGCAGGCCUAACACAUGCAAGUCGAGCGGAUGAAGGGAGCUUGCUCCUGGAUUCAGCGGCGGACGGGUGAGUAAUGCCUAUGAAUCUGCCUGGUAGUGCUGUGUAACGUCCUGAAACGGGCGCUAAUACCACAUACGUCCUGCGGGUGAAAGUGGGGGAUCUUCGGACCUCACGCUAUCAGAUGAGCCUAGGUCGGAUUAGCUAGUUGGUUGGGUAAUGGCCUACUAAGGCGACGAUCCGUAACUGGUCUGAGAGGAUGAUCAGUCACACUGGAACUGGAACACGGUCAAGACUCCUACGGGAGGUAGCAGAGGGGAAUGGUGGGCAGUAGGGGAGAGCAUGAUCCAACCAGCGCGAGUGUGUGAAGGAGGUCUUGGGAUUGGAAAGAACGUUAAGUGGGGAGGAAGGGCAGUAAGUUAAUACCUUGCGGUAUUGACGUUACCAGCAGAAUAAGCACCGGCUAACUACGUG